rnacentral:rRNA from 1 species
UACAGAGGGUGCGAGCGUUAAUCGGAAUUACUGGGCGUAAAGGGCGCGUAGGUUGUUUUUUAAGUGAGAUGUGAAAUCCCUGGGCUUAACCUAGGAAUGGCGUCUGAGACUGAAAGACUAGAGUACAAUAGAGGGUAGUGGAAUUUCCGGUGUAGCGGUGAAAUGCGUAGAUAUCGGAAGGAACAUCAGUGGCGAAGGCGGCUACCUGGAUUGAGACUGACACUGAGGCGCGAAAGCGUGGGGAGCAAACAGG